rnacentral:rRNA from 1 species
CCUACGGGAGGCAGCAGUGAGGAAUAUUGGUCAAUGGACGAGAGUCUGAACCAGCCAAGUAGCGUGAAGGAUGACUGCCCUAUGGGUUGUAAACUUCUUUUAUAUGGGAAUAAAAUGUUCCACGUGUGGGCUUUUGUAUGUACCAUAUGAAUAAGGAUCGGCUAACUCCGUGCCAGCAGCCGCGGUAAUACGGAGGAUCCGAGCGUUGUCCGGAUUUAUUGGGUUUAAAGGGAGCGUAGGUGGAUUGUUAAGUCAGGUGUGAAAGUUUGCGGCUCAACCGUAAAAUUGCAGUUGAAACUGGCAGUCUUGAGUACAGUAGAGGUGGGCGGAAUUCGUGGUGUAGCGGUGAAAUGCUUAGAUAUCACGAAGAACUCCGAUUGCGAAGGCAGCUCACUGGACUGCAACUGACACUGAGGCUCGAAAGUGUGGGUAUCAAACAGGAUUAGAUACCCGAGUAGUC